ensembl:lncRNA
AGACUUAAGUGUGUGUUGUGCAUACAUUUCCAUCCGUUCCCCCCACCUCCACCACCCAUCCCAACCUAGAACUGGUUGUUAAACAUUUACUAACAUAGUGCUGCCCAUAUCCAUGCUGGUGAUUAUGUUUCACUCAGCACUUAUAAGAGUUUCUUUUGUUGUUCAGUUCUUUUAAGGGCGUGUUAAUCUCUAUGAUUUCCCAGUGAUUUUCUCCUCUCCCCAGUUCUUUCUACACAAGCAGAGUUUUUGUUGUUCCAAGGAAUGUAGUCAGUAUGGGUUUUGAGGAUCUUCAUAGGUUAUAGUAUUGAGUUAGAUGUAAUGAGAUAGAAUUCAAUAGUGAGACAUAUAAAAAUCGUAUAUACAUGCUCAAAGAAAUUAGUUUUACAAGAUGAGGGAAGUAUGGUUAGAACUUGUUCUAAAAAGCUCUUAGGGUGUUGGUAGGCUUUAAAGAUGCACUGAUGUGCUAAAGCAACCCAAAAAAGUUAAUUCAUUAAGUUUUGAGUUGUGUUAAGAAAGGACAACUUCCAAGAAUGGGGAAUCAAAGUCCCACUAUACUUUGCUCAUCAGAGCUCACCUGAAGUAUUGUUUUCAGAUCUGGUUGCCCUGGUUUAAGGAAAUUGAUAGACUGGAGUGUAGAGGAAGGUGCAUAGGAUGUUAUUGAAUCCAUUUCAUAUGAAGACUGGUUGAUAGAACUGGAGAUGUUUAGCCUUCAGAAGAGAAGACUAGAGAAAUGUGAAAGCUGCUUCUAAGUCAAGGCUUUCGGUCACCUCUUGCAUCCAGAAAGGUUUUUGCUGAAAGGUUGGCAGAUUCACAUAUGUGACCACUCCCAGGAAGGAAACAGAUUGAGCAGCAUUCUACCUGGCAUUUGUGAUAGUGCCCUCCAAGUCACUCCAAACACCUUGACUGGAUUAUAAUCCAUGCAACAACUCUUUCAAUGUGUGUGUGAGGAAAUAUGAAUGACUGAGCACAAAUUUAUCACUGUUGGGAAAAAAAAAAUCAAUUCACUUCAUAUUCUUGCAAAUGGCAGCUCUCCUGAUUCUGGCCCAGCUGAUCCCCAACCCCAGCAACUCUGGCCUCUGACCCAGAUCAAAGUUUGCCCCAGGAUGCUGGUAGCAGACCCAAUUUCUUCAGGAUCAAAAAACAGCUGGUAAAAACGGGGGUGUUCUUUCUUUAGGCUACAAUUAACCUCCAUGUGGCAGGGGGAGGGGACAGGGGACCACAGUGGGGGAGAAAGAGGAGAAGGAAAAGACUUUUCCAAACAUGAAGUUACAAGUAUGGCUGCUUAAUUUAAAAGGGUAUCUUUUGAGUGCAUUGAUCCCUUUAUUUAUAUCACCUGGUAUUCAGGGGAAAAAUUCAACUCCCUGCAAUUCUUUGGCCCAAUUUGAGAUUCCUAAAAUGUACCCUCACUAUGGGAAAGCAGCUCAGUGACUUAGUGGAUUGAGAGCCAGGCCUAGAGAUGGGAGGUCCUGGGUUCUAAUCUGGCUUCAGAGACUUCCCAGCUGUGUGACCCUGGGCAAGUCACUUCACCCCCAUUGCCUACCCCUUAC